GUCCAAAUCGUUAGCCUUAAUUCGUAUGAGGUCAUUAAUUAAGUAAAACACAGACUUCACGCCAGGCCCUCCAAUCAGCUCAUGUUUUUCAGAGCAAUUAAGCCAUUGGGUGAAAUCAUCCAUGCUCAUCUCCCACCCCAGAAGAAUACUGAUGUGUUGUCAGGGAACACAGGCUUAUUUCUGAACUCUUCAGAGUUUGUGUUUUUAAAGGCCAAUGAAGAGACCGUAUUUCUACAGUAGUUUACUAUAUGUGGUAUAGGAUUAGCAUUGCAUGGCAGACCUUUGUUGCUAGAGAAAGCCACUAAGCAACCCUUGUCUCAAUCUCAAAACCAAAGUUAUUAGUUGGCUGAAAGGGAUUUAGAAAGUAAUCUCCACCUCCCACUAGAGAGAGAGUGCUAGCAUGGGUGAUUUCAUAUGUGGCAGUGGGUCAGUGCAGGUGCAGUGUAUUUCUCUAUGUGAGAAAGCAUGAAUGAGUUAGGUGAAUGCACAUUACAGCGAAAGAGAGUGGGUGAGUGCAUGCAUGUGUGUGUGAGAGAGAGUUGUUAAACGGGUGUAGGCAGUAAUUGUGCUAAGAUAAGCUCCUCUCCUGUGUCCAAUCUGUGAAUAGGCGACUGGGUUGGACACAAACACAAGCCUCUCCUGGUGCCUAGUUGCCUGGAGACAUAGCCGAGGCUUUGGACGAGGGGUCUAAUAAAAGAAAAUUGUGUGUGAAUGUCUGUGUGGCCUCCUGGACUGUGUCCACCGCUGCGUAUACGUCUCCCACAGUUCCCUCUCGUCCACUUCAGUCCCCCUCUCAGUCUGGGGGUCUGUGGACGUGCGGAAAGUAAGCUCUUCUCUGUGGCGUUGAUGUGUUUGGAACUUCCAUCACUAGGAUUUGUGUUUUAAGGGACAAGAGCUUUGAGGUGGAAGUGUGCGGAUGUGUGAUUGAGCUGUGUAACGUCCCUCCUUGUGCACAAUGUUGGUAGCCUGGUGCUGUUUUAUAGUCCUGCAUCAGAGCCCUGUAGCAAUCCAAUCAGUCAAGUGCCAAGACCCUCCCACCACCACCACCCCUCCACCCACCAUUCCCUCAUAAGAUCGCUGGUGAUUGGCAGCUGACAGGCGGAAACCAUGGAGACGCACGGGGAGACAGAAUUAUUGGAGUGUCGACUCUGUAUGGAAGACCUGGUGAAAAUGCAAAACCUAUUUCUGCCUGCGGGCAGCAGCCUGGGCCGUGAGGAGUUCAUGGAGCGGGCGUGUGCGGCGGUGGGUCGCGGCACGCGGGAGGAGUACGGCCAGCUGUUCGACAGCGUGGACGUGUCGCGGGAGGGCCGUCUGGACUGGACUCGGCUGACCACCUUCCUGCUGCUGAAGCUGUGCGAGCAGGACGAGCAGGCGCGGGCGGCCACCGUGCCACGCUGGAGAGCCCCGCGUCCACUGCCCUCUCCACACAGGGAGCCCGUCCAGGGGGUGGCGCUGCUGCGCUCCAGUCCCAGCCGAUUCGUCAGCCUCAGCAAGGAUGGUGUGCUGGGGGUGUGGUCUGACGAGCUGGGGCUCCUCAAGAGCCUCCGGCUGACCAACGAGUCCGUCAAGCCCAAAGACCUCUGGGCAACGGCCAUGGUUGUGCUGCCCAAUGUCCACAAGGUCGCGGUUGGUUUCACCAGCAAGGAGAUCUGUUUCUACGAUCUGCUCUCCAAGCAGGAGUUCAGUUGUCAGUACAAAUUACAGGGCCUGAGGCACACUCCCAUCGCCCUGGACUACUGGUACAACCCACAGGAUCCCGACCAGGCCGUGCUGAGUCUGGGGGACGUGGGAGGGAAGGUGACUGUGGUCUGUUUCCGGACGGCUCAGAUCGCCCUGUUUGAGAGGCCCAGUGUGUCGGUGGAGCAGGAAGCCACGGUGGUCAUCCAGUGGGCCGAGCUGGCCGAGGGCCAACACCGCUGCUGCUACACCAGCGCACACAUUGCCCACGGCCACAGCUGGGUCCGUAAAGUGCGGUUCCUGGGCCCGUUGGAAGCUGUGGUGUCCUGCUCCUGGAGUGGCCAGGGCAGCCUGGUGUUGGCCUGGAGGGAGACGGAGGGCUCGCCCCUCAGAGUCACCCAAUUCAACACACACACGGGCAUCAGUGACCUGGACUACCACCCGACUCUUAAUCUCAUAGCCACCGCAGGCCUCAACCAGCACGUGUACCUGUGGAACCCCUACGUCACGUCCAAGCCUGUGGGCAUCCUGAGAGGCCACAUGAGCAGUGUGCUGGCCGUGCGCUUCAUCCUGGGAAAGAGACAGCUGCUCAGCUUCUCCAAAGACAAGGUGCUAAGACUGUGGGACGUCUCCAGCCAGCUGUGUGUCCAGCGCGUGGCCGGCAUCUUCCCCAAGACCCAGGAGUGCCAGACGCUGUUGUUCCUCCACGAGGAGCACAGCCGCCUGCUCCUCUCCUUCAACAGCCAGCUCCUGCUGCUCGAGGCCAAGACAGAGCCGGGCCAGAGGCUGACAAGCCACGAGAGCCCGGUCACCUGCGUCCUCUACAACUCCCUCUUCCGCCAGGCAAUUAGCAGUGACACCUGUUCCACUAUAACAUGCUGGCUCAUGGACACAGGUCAGAAGGUGAAGCAGUUCACCCGUUGUCAUGGAGAUGCCGAGAUUUCCACCAUGGCGUUGGAUGGGACCCAGACUCGGCUGUUUACUGCAGGAACCGACGGACUGGUAAAGAUAUGGGACUUUAAUGGCCACUGCCACCACAGGCUGAAUGCGGGACGUGACCAGGCGGCGGAGAUCUCCCAGGUCCUGGUGCUGAAGAGGACAGUAUUGGUGCUGGGCUGGGAGAGGAUCAUCACAGUGUUCCGACCAGGCCGGUUCUCGAAGUUCUUUGUCCAGCCCUCUGAGUGGACGGGAGGUGUUCAGCACCGUGACGACGUGCUGUGUGCUGCUUUCCGACCUCCGCAGACUCUCGUCACAGGCAGCUACGACGGCGAGAUCAUAGUGUGGAAUAACAGCACAGAGAACGCACUGCGCAAACUGCGAGCAGAUGGCCAGCAGAGCGUCCGAUCCAAAUCAGAUUGGGCGCUGCUUAAGGUUGACCAGUCAGCAGCUGCAGACCAUGGGCAGUCCCCUGCUACCUCUGUCUCAUCACUGCCACCUGCUGGACAGGAUGGACCGGAGGAAUGCCAGGCCAUCACUAGGCUCUUCUUCCUGGAGCGUCAAAAGGGAGUCAUUACUGCAGGUGGUGCUGACCUGGUUUCGUGUGGGAUGUCAGGCCUGGUGAGGUUCUGGAACACUGCCCACUGCAUCCUGGUGGCCGAGUUUGUCGCCCAUAAAAGGUCAGGCUCCAUCAUUCUGACAGUGGACGGGAGUGGGCGGUAUCUGGUGACCGCAGACGUGCAUGGAGGAAUGAAAGUCUGGGAUUUACAGGACUACUGCCUUCAGUCCAGUGACGGAGUACUCAGACGAGCCCCCACUCUCCUGUCCAGCCUCCGGCCCCACACGGACUGUGUCACACACCUGGAGACCUGUGUCCAUGGCGACCAACUCUUUCUCCUGUCCACAUCUACAGACUACACUGUGGCUUUAACCUACCUUCCAGGACACUGUGUGGGGAUAUUUGGACAGGAGGAGCACUGGCGCCUUGGCGGAACAGACUGCACCCCCCCAAUGGAGGUGCAGGACGGAGAGCUCGCGGAAGGUGAGAUGGCCGAGUCCCCCCUCACUCCUCAAGGGUCUCAAGGGCAUCACAGUGACCAAGGCUCAGCCUCCCAACACUCCGCUCCCUCGGCUGAAGACACCACUCUAGCAGAAGAGAAAGAUCACAGCCAGGAACCCAGGGAGACCAGCGUGGCUGUUGAGAGUCGCCGCGUUCCGGGGAGAGGCUCGGAGCCGAGGCAUGGCCUCAAGGAGGCCGAGAGGAGACCGCACGCCAACAACAGAUCCUCCGCGUCUGCGGGUCCAUUCAGUGAGCUGACACUUGGGGAGCUGCAGUCAGUGCAGGGUCUGGACAAGCCGGACUUUGUGGCCAACCCUCACCUGUACUUCGGCCGCAUGUGGGACAGCACGACCCCAACCCCACCCCCUCCUCCUCUUUCUCCUCCCAAAGAAACAACACUGAAGGCAUCCUUUGAUGAGAGGAGCCUUUUCCCUAAGGAGGUGCUGCAGAGAGUGGAGGGCUCUGGCUUGCUGGGCAGGUCACAGGUAGCCCGAGGGGGGAAGAGGACUGCUGGCCAGGGACAUGGCAGGUGAGUCACUUCUGCUCAUCUUCACUCUGGAUGGUCACUUUCCCUUCACUCUCUCCUUCAGAGCCCAUCUGUUCCAUGUGGAAAUUUAAACCGAGCUUCACAGGAACCUUCAAAACCAAAUAAAGAUUCCUCCAGACAGUUUUCUUGUACACAUUUUGUGCUAACACACACACACACACACACACACACACACACCGCAUAUGCACAGAUGAACAAACAUGCACACAGCCACAUUGUCUUUGAGAAUGAACUGUAUGAUGUCUGAAUAUCAAAGUAUUUAUGCAUAUAAAUGUAAUUGUAGUUAAAACUCUGUGAGUAUCAUUUGUUUGGUUUGCAUUUUCACUGGCAAUUUCACUGCAUUGUAUUUCUGUUUUUCAUAUCUAAACAAUAUGAGGAGAUGCCAUCCAUUCAGUAUUCAAUAUGUAAACUACUGGAAUACAUUGUAUUUGCCUUAAUAAAAAUGUUUUCAAAUAA